UGCGUAGGCGGCCUUACAGGUGGGGUGUGAAAGCCCACGGCUUAACCGUGGAAUUGCGCUCCAAACCGUAAGGCUUGAGGGAGAUAGGGGUGAGCGGAACUGAUGGUGGAGCGGUGAAAUGCGUUGAUAUCAUCAGGAACACCGGUGGCGAAGGCGGCUCACUGGGUCUCUUCUGACGCUGAGGCACGAAAGCUAGGGUAGCGAACG
rnacentral:rRNA from 1 species